UGAUAAGGUUUUCAUAAGUCAAAAGGUGAAAUGAUGAGAUGAAAGGUGUCAAAUUUUGAUACAAUAAGGCUAAAUCAUUGAAAAUAAGGAAUUUUCAUCAACCUUAUCACUUUGCACGACCAUUAUUCUGAAAAACAGAGAGAAAAUAAAACCAAAAACCAUUUCUUGGCUGGUUUGAAGAAAUUCUAAGGAGAUCCAAGUGAAAGCAAAGCCAAAGAAGUAGAUUAAGCUUAGUUCUAGCCUUUUUAUGGAUAAGCACAUCAAUACCUAAGACAUCACUUGUUACACGGUGAAAUAUAUUUUGGACAAAAGGUAGAGAAAGAAAUGUGUGAAUGACAUGAGGAGAACUGAAGCAUGGUCCUGACCCUGAUUUGUACAUAUGAACAUAUCGACCUUUUUGUGGGUUAUUUCAGUUAUCAGUGAGAUGUUUGUAAUAAAGUGUGAAGUUAUGUUUUGAAAACAAAUUGGGUUAUUUAAUACUUAUGUAUAAUAUGUUUGAGACCCACUUUAUGUUUAAUGUAAAUAAUGUGAAAUAA